AUUGAACGCUGGCGGCAGGCCUAACACAUGCAAGUCGAGCGGAUGAAGGGAGCUUGCUCCUGGAUUCAGCGGCGGACGGGUGAGUAAUGCCUAGGAAUCUGCCUGGUAGUGGGGGAUAACGUCCGGAAACGGGCGCUAAUACCGCAUACGUCCUGAGGGAGAAAGUGGGGGAUCUUCGGACCUCACGCUAUCAGAUGAGCCUAGGUCGGAUUAGCUAGUUGGUGGGGUAAAGGCCUACCAAGGCGACGAUCCGUAACUGGUCUGAGAGGAUGAUCAGUUACACUGGAACUGAGACACGGUCCAGACUCCUACGGGAGGCAGCAGUGGGGAAUAUUGGACAAUGGGCGAAAGCCUGAUCCAGCCAUGCCGCGUGUGUGAAGAAGGUCUUCGGAUUGUAAAGCACUUUAAGUUGGGAGGAAGGGCAGUAAGUUAAUACCUUGCUGUUUUGGCGUUACCAACAGAAUAAGCACCGGCUAACUUCGUG
rnacentral:rRNA from 1 species